GAUCCCGAUCUCUGCUUUCUUCAGGGCUGGGGCGUCGUUCACUCCAUCACCAGUCUGUGGGCCAGGUCAGGUAGGACCUAUGCCUGAGAGACGUCCACCGCCCCUCAACUCAGCCCAUCCCCAGUCUUAAGGGAAGUUCCCAAGGAAACAGACAACUGGACAGAACAAAUGCGCCAAAAAAAGAAGAGUCUCAGGAGAGGGAAAAUGGAAGACAGGAAAUAUUUGAAGGAAUAAUUAAUAAGGGUGUUGCAGAAUAAAAGGUGGCAAAACACAGGAAUG